rnacentral:rRNA from 1 species
UACGUAGGCAGCAAGCGUUGUUCGGAGUUACUGGGCGUAAAGGGUGCGUAGGUGGCUCUAUAAGUAUGGUGUGAAAUCUCCCGGCUCAACUGGGAGGGUGCGCCGGAUACUGAGGGGCUAGAGUGUGGGAGAGGAAAGUGGAAUUCCUGGUGUAGCGGUGAAAUGCGUAGAUAUCAGGAGGAACACCGGUGGUGUAAACGGCUUUCUGGACCAUAACUGACGCUGAGGCACGAAAGCGUGGGUAGCAAACAGG